GACUAAAUAGCAUAAUUGGUAAUGUCGAAGAUUGCAAAUCUUUUUAUAAGGGUUCAAAUCCCUUUUUAGUCU
rnacentral:tRNA from 1 species